rnacentral:rRNA from 1 species
UUAAGCGACUAAGCGUACACGGUGGAUGCCCUGGCAGUCAGAGGCGAUGAAGGACGUGCUAAUCUGCGAUAAGCGUCGGUAAGGUGAUAUGAACCGUUAUAACCGGCGAUUUCCGAAUGGGGAAACCCAGUGUGUUUCGACACACUAUCAUUAACUGAAUCCAUAGGUUAAUGAGGCGAACCGGGGGAACUGAAACAUCUAAGUACCCCGAGGAAAAGAAAUCAACCGAGAUUCCCCCAGUAGCGGCGAGCGAACGGGGAGCAGCCCAGAGCCUGAAUCAGUGUGUGUGUUAGUGGAAGCGUCUGGAAAGGCGCGCGAUACAGGGUGACAGCCCCGUACACAAAAAUGCACAUGCUGUGAGCUCGAUGAGUAGGGCGGGACACGUGGUAUCCUGUCUGAAUAUGGGGGGACCAUCCUCCAAGGCUAAAUACUCCUGACUGACCGAUAGUGAACCAGUACCGUGAGGGAAAGGCGAAAAGAACCCCGGCGAGGGGAGUGAAAAAGAACCUGAAACCGUGUACGUACAAGCAGUGGGAGCACGCUUAGGCGUGUGACUGCGUACCUUUUGUAUAAUGGGUCAGCGACUUAUAUUCUGUAGCAAGGUUAACCGAAUAGGGGAGCCGAAGGGAAACCGAGUCUUAACUGGGCGUUAAGUUGCAGGGUAUAGACCCGAAACCCGGUGAUCUAGCCAUGGGCAGGUUGAAGGUUGGGUAACACUAACUGGAGGACCGAACCGACUAAUGUUGAAAAAUUAGCGGAUGACUUGUGGCUGGGGGUGAAAGGCCAAUCAAACCGGGAGAUAGCUGGUUCUCCCCGAAAGCUAUUUAGGUAGCGCCUCGUGAAUUCAUCUCCGGGGGUAGAGCACUGUUUCGGCAAGGGGGUCAUCCCGACUUACCAACCCGAUGCAAACUGCGAAUACCGGAGAAUGUUAUCACGGGAGACACACGGCGGGUGCUAACGUCCGUCGUGAAGAGGGAAACAACCCAGACCGCCAGCUAAGGUCCCAAAGUCAUGGUUAAGUGGGAAACGAUGUGGGAAGGCCCAGACAGCCAGGAUGUUGGCUUAGAAGCAGCCAUCAUUUAAAGAAAGCGUAAUAGCUCACUGGUCGAGUCGGCCUGCGCGGAAGAUGUAACGGGGCUAAACCAUGCACCGAAGCUGCGGCAGCGACACUAUGUGUUGUUGGGUAGGGGAGCGUUCUGUAAGCCUGCGAAGGUGUGCUGUGAGGCAUGCUGGAGGUAUCAGAAGUGCGAAUGCUGACAUAAGUAACGAUAAAGCGGGUGAAAAGCCCGCUCGCCGGAAGACCAAGGGUUCCUGUCCAACGUUAAUCGGGGCAGGGUGAGUCGACCCCUAAGGCGAGGCCGAAAGGCGUAGUCGAUGGGAAACAGGUUAAUAUUCCUGUACUUGGUGUUACUGCGAAGGGGGGACGGAGAAGGCUAUGUUGGCCGGGCGACGGUUGUCCCGGUUUAAGCGUGUAGGCUGGUUUUCCAGGCAAAUCCGGAAAAUCAAGGCUGAGGCGUGAUGACGAGGCACUACGGUGCUGAAGCAACAAAUGCCCUGCUUCCAGGAAAAGCCUCUAAGCAUCAGGUAACAUCAAAUCGUACCCCAAACCGACACAGGUGGUCAGGUAGAGAAUACCAAGGCGCUUGAGAGAACUCGGGUGAAGGAACUAGGCAAAAUGGUGCCGUAACUUCGGGAGAAGGCACGCUGAUAUGUAGGUGAAGUCCCUCGCGGAUGGAGCUGAAAUCAGUCGAAGAUACCAGCUGGCUGCAACUGUUUAUUAAAAACACAGCACUGUGCAAACACGAAAGUGGACGUAUACGGUGUGACGCCUGCCCGGUGCCGGAAGGUUAAUUGAUGGGGUUAGCGCAAGCGAAGCUCUUGAUCGAAGCCCCGGUAAACGGCGGCCGUAACUAUAACGGUCCUAAGGUAGCGAAAUUCCUUGUCGGGUAAGUUCCGACCUGCACGAAUGGCGUAAUGAUGGCCAGGCUGUCUCCACCCGAGACUCAGUGAAAUUGAACUCGCUGUGAAGAUGCAGUGUACCCGCGGCAAGACGGAAAGACCCCGUGAACCUUUACUAUAGCUUGACACUGAACAUUGAGCCUUGAUGUGUAGGAUAGGUGGGAGGCUUUGAAGUGUGGACGCCAGUCUGCAUGGAGCCGACCUUGAAAUACCACCCUUUAAUGUUUGAUGUUCUAACGUUGACCCGUGAUCCGGGUUGCGGACAGUGUCUGGUGGGUAGUUUGACUGGGGCGGUCUCCUCCUAAAGAGUAACGGAGGAGCACGAAGGUUGGCUAAUCCUGGUCGGACAUCAGGAGGUUAGUGCAAUGGCAUAAGCCAGCUUGACUGCGAGCGUGACGGCGCGAGCAGGUGCGAAAGCAGGUCAUAGUGAUCCGGUGGUUCUGAAUGGAAGGGCCAUCGCUCAACGGAUAAAAGGUACUCCGGGGAUAACAGGCUGAUACCGCCCAAGAGUUCAUAUCGACGGCGGUGUUUGGCACCUCGAUGUCGGCUCAUCACAUCCUGGGGCUGAAGUAGGUCCCAAGGGUAUGGCUGUUCGCCAUUUAAAGUGGUACGCGAGCUGGGUUUAGAACGUCGUGAGACAGUUCGGUCCCUAUCUGCCGUGGGCGCUGGAGAACUGAGGGGGGCUGCUCCUAGUACGAGAGGACCGGAGUGGACGCAUCACUGGUGUUCGGGUUGUCAUGCCAAUGGCACUGCCCGGUAGCUAAAUGCGGAAGAGAUAAGUGCUGAAAGCAUCUAAGCACGAAACUUGCCCCGAGAUGAGUUCUCCCUGACUCCUUGAGAGUCCUGAAGGAACGUUGAAGACGACGACGUUGAUAGGCCGGGUGUGUAAGCGCAGCGAUGCGUUGAGCUAACCGGUACUAAUGAACCGUGAGGCUUAACCUU